rnacentral:lncRNA from 1 species
CUUCUCAGUAAAGUGGCUGAAGGGUAAUGAACCCAAAAUACCUAAGUAGCAAAUGAGUCACCGAACUUCCACAGCUGGCUGUGUUGUGGGUAAAUAGCAGAGAGGAGGUAACUUGUUCUCCAAGACCCAGGCUCUUCCAUAAUGAGAACAAACUGGAGGCUCUUGAGAGGACUUAAAAGAUACCUCAUGAAGAAGAUAUCAGCCAAGUCAACUAUAGAUGAUGGAAAACCUUCGUCCCAUGGAGGCUCUGACAACAAAGAUGCCACAAGAUGGGACUUCUGCUAGAACACUUGCUUGCCUGAGCAUGUGCAUCAAGCCCUGGGUUCC